rnacentral:rRNA from 1 species
UACGUAGGGGGCGAGCGUUGUCCGGAAUUACUGGGCGUAAAGGGCGCCUAGGCGGCGGUUUAAGUCUGCGGUGAAAGGCCGAGGCUCAACCUCGGACGGUCCGCGGAGACUGGAUCGCUGGAGUAUCGGAGAGGAGCGGGGAAUCCCUGGUGUAGCGGUGGAAUGCGUAGAGAUCAGGGGGAACACCGAUGGCGAAGGCACCGCUCUGGCCGAUCACUGACGCUGAAGCGCGAAAGCUGGGGGAGCGAACGGG